rnacentral:rRNA from 1 species
UCGAGAAUUUUUCACAAUGGGGGAAACCCUGAUGGAGCGACGCCGCGUGGAGGAUGAAGGUUUUCGGAUUGUAAACUCCUGUCAUUAGAGAACAAUGCGCCGGUAGUAACUGUAUCGGCGUUGAUAGUAUCUGAAGAGGAAGAGACGGCUAACUCUGUGCCAGCAGCCGCGGUAAUACAGAGGUCUCAAGCGUUGUUCGGAUUCAUUGGGCGUAAAGGGUGCGUAGGUGGCGAUGUAAGUCGGAUGUGAAAUCUCCAGGCUCAACCUGGAAACUGCAUUCGAUACUGCGUUGCUUGAGGAUUGUAGAGGGCAUUGGAAUUCACGGUGUAGCAGUGAAAUGCGUAGAUAUCGUGAGGAAGACCAGUGGCGAAGGCGAAUGCCUGGGCAAUUCCUGACACUGAGGCACGAAGGCCAGGGGAGCGAACG